GGAGUCUGCAACUCGACUCCGUGAAGUCGGAAUCGCUAGUAAUCGUGGAUCAGAACGCCACGGUGAAUACGUUCCCGGGCCUUGUACACACCGCCCGUCACACCAUGGGAGUGGGUUGCACCAGAAGUAGCUAGUCUAACCUUCGGGAGGACGGUUACCACGGUGUGAUUCAUGACUGGGGUGAAGUCGUAACAAGGUAGCCGUAGGGGAACCUGCGGCUGGAUCACCUCCUUAAU
rnacentral:rRNA from 1 species